AACUUAUGUAAUAUUAUUAGAAGCCCAUCCGCUUCAAAAAAAAAUUAUUAGAAGCCCAUCAUUGUAUUUUUUAGAGGGAUUAAAAGCUCAUAAUUAAAUACAAAUAAUAUAAAGAAUAUGAAAAAGGAAGCGUGAAUGCCCUACACAAUUUUAUCAUUUUCAAUACAAACCCGCCGCUGCAUCCUCCUCUUCUUCUUCUUCUUCAUGCUGUCUUUUUUUUCUACGGCUUCGUGUCUUUCUUUUUCUUCACCUUCUUCUUUCUCCUUCGUUUGUACAAUAAUUUCACCCUCUUCUUUUUAAUUUCCAUAAACAAUUAAUAGUUGUGAAAUUGGGACGAUUCCCAACUUUUACGGUUUCUGCCUCUCUUUUCGCCUCUGAAAUUCGUCCCUCCGGCAAGGCCCGCCGCAUCACCGCCGUCUCCGACGCACCACCGGCCUCUCCAUCCCAGGGAAUGUUGCUUCAAGACGUCUCCGGCGGCAGAUCCGUUUCCAAUUUUUGCAAGAAAAGUUCUUUAUGCAAUACACAUUCGUUCAAUUUUUUUUUUUUUUUUUUUUUUGAGAAAACACAUUCGCUCAAUUGCUUUGCUUAAGCAUAUCGACUACAUUUUCUAUUCAAAA